UACGUAGGUGGCAAGCGUUGUCCGGAUUUAUUGGGUUUAAAGGGGGCGUAGGCGGCCCUGUAAGUCAGUGGUGAAAUACUCUAGCUUAACUAGAGGGGUGCCAAUGAUACUGCAGGGCUUGAGUACAGAUGAGGUAGGCGGAAUUGACGGUGUAGCGGUGAAAUGCAUAGAUAUCGUCAAGAACACCGAUAGCGAAGGCAGCUUACUGGGCUGUAACUGACGCUGAUGCACGAAAGUGUGGGGAUCAAACAGG
rnacentral:rRNA from 1 species